UUUAUCUCAAUUGAACUCGGUAGGUGGCGCUGCUAUCGAACCGAGAAGCGUCGACUCCACAUCCUUUGGCCAGUAAUCCUUAAUAACCUAAAUACCUAAAAAGAAAAAAAAUGGAAAAAGGAUCCUUUUGAGGUUAUAAAAUAGGAAAAGAAAGCGUGUAUUGCUGUUUUGCACUUAUUGUAAUGAAAAGUUUAGACUUCAUUUUUAGUCUUUUGAUAAGAAAUAAAUAAAUACGUUUUA